CCCGCACAAGCGGUGGAGCAUGUGGUUUAAUUCGAUGCAACGCGAAGAACCUUACCUACUCUUGACAUCCAGAGAAUUUGCUAGAGAUAGCUUAGUGCCUUCGGGAACUCUGAGACAGGUGCUGCAUGGCUGUCGUCAGCUCGUGUUGUGAAAUGUUGGGUUAAGUCCCGCAACGAGCGCAACCCCUAUUGUUAGUUGCCAUCAUUCAGUUGGGCACUCUAGCGAGACUGCCGGUAAUAAACCGGAGGAAGUGGGGAUGACGUCAAAUCAUCAUGCCCCUUAUGACCUGGGCUACACACGUGCUACAAUGGUUGGUACAACGAGUUGCGAGUCGGUGACGGCGAGCUAAUCUCUUAAAGCCAAUCUCAGUUCGGAUUGUAGGCUGCAACUCGCCUACAUGAAGUCGGAAUCGCUAGUAAUCGCGGAUCAGCACGCCGCGGUGAAUACGUUCCCGGGCCUU
rnacentral:rRNA from 1 species